CUGCCUUUGACUCCUUUCGUCUCUCAAACGCUCUCGAUGGUCCUGAAAUCCUAGCCCCUCUGCCCCGUUUUCAACCGCCACUUCACCGGAAUCCAUGGCUUCUCAGGCCAUGGACGGCCUGUACUCACCCUCCACCGUUAAACCCUGGGUAUCCAAAGUUUGAGGUCAGACCUUGAUGGUUCUCUUUAAGAUAUUCUUAGAUUUAUAGCUCCAUGGCCUCUCCAGUUAUGCUCUGGCGUAUCCAAAGCAUUAGGAGCCUAAUUCUAACUCAUUCGACUCAAAAUCGGACUUUCUUCCAAGCCUUUCUCAUUUCUAGGGUUUCUUCGAAAUCCUAAGCUAUUCGAGGUUCUUCUCUAUUUUUUUUCUUAGAUCAAUGCGAUAUAUGCGUUCUACUGUAUUUUAAAGUUGUUUUCCCCAAUCUUUUCUUUCAAAAAUUGCUUCUCUUCGAUUUAGGGUUUCUGAAAGGGCUUCAAACGCCUUUCUGAUUCUUUCUUUUCUUUUCUUUGUGUGUGUUUAUCUAUAUUAUGCUAGUGUGUUUUCUUUUCUACCAUGCAUGUGUUGUUCUUUUGUUUUCUUUCUACUAUACAUGGCUCUUAUGUACUUUUGUAUUCUAAUGUGCCACUAGAC
rnacentral:lncRNA from 1 species